UGAUGAAAACAAUAAUUGGAUUUCAUUUCAUAAACACAAUAAUCAAGAUUUACAUGUUUACAAGGGGCAUACCCCAGGUAAUUAAAAAAAACUAUGAUAUAUCAACACUUGAGUGGAUUGAGUUAAGUGAGUGUAAUGACUCUGCAAUGAAAUCUGCAAGGGAUAUUCAGAAACAACAAAACCAAAUUAAGCUCUGUGUCCCAAGCAAUCCUCAGCAACAUCAUCUAUGCUCUAUGUCCCAUGAAUUGUUUUGGGUCACUGACAAUGUACCAACUUGAAGCCACCAUUCUACUUUGAAGUUGUUUUUGAGUAGUCCAGCUAGCACAACAAUUGCAAGAGGCAAGCAUACUCAAUUUAUUCAUCUUCAAUUCCAUCGCAAAACAUAAUGAGAACAUCGCUAAACAUAAUGAGAACUCGAUAAAACAUUGAUCUUUGCCAUUAUUGUACUAAAAACCUCAUGGACUAUAAAUAAGGAUCAACUGAGUUCCAAAUGCAAGAUAAAAUCUAGUAUCAAUUGUUGAGAAGAUUGGGCCAUGUCACCAAGCUGUCUCUUGGGUGCCAUAUGAUAUCCUUUCAAUCAGUCUCAACACUUAAAACCAACCAAAACAAACCAAACAGUUCUUUCAGGCAAUUAAACAAACACCUAGCGUGCAAACCAGUUUUUAGCUCAUCCCUAUCCUUGUGGCUAGUGCUCAAACCCAACAAUUACUUCAAACCUAUUUAGGACAAAGCAAUCACACCCAGUAAGCAAUUCAUAUGUAUAAAAAUACAAAAAUCAACCCUCACUAAAUAAAAGAAUUAACUAUUAAUCAUUAAUAAUCCACAAUUGAGAUAUUAGAGGAAAAGAACCAACUAAUCUCCCAAUCAAUACUUCAAUACGAUGCAAAUCUUCCUCACAUUGCAAUUCUUUCUUGAGUCGAAUUUUCCAAAAUAAAUUGUAACCUUACUUGAUUUAGGGAAAAAAUCAGUCCAAAACUUCGAAUGAAAUCAACGCACCAGCAGGAAGGAAUCUUGGUGCAAAACUUGAUUAGGAAUGGGAUUGGAGCCUUGUGAAAUGCAUGCUUUGGAAUGAAAAUUGGGUUUGAAUUGGUUUGGGUUAUUAUGGAAAGAGAUUGUUACCUUCAGUUUUGCAAGAAGGUUGGAAAGAGCAACCUUAAGAUUGUGACCUAGAAUGGAUUUGAUUUUUUUUGAGGUCAGAGGCUCAGAGCAUAUGGUUUAAAAAAAAUAAAUUAAAACGACGUUGUUUAGGGAAGGAGAGAAUAAUGGGACUCACUGUCCAAAUUUUCGGUCCAAAAAACCUGUCUGCGUAGAAGCACUGAUAUAUUAAAGGUUUACUACCAUCGAGUAUUAUUAAUGAUGACAAUUAAGUCAAGUUAAGAUAAGAGCAGAGCAGAGCAGAGCAGGUGAGGGCCAAGUCAACCUUCCAAACAUUUUAAAAAAUAUAUAUAGAGUUGAAUAAGUUUUGGAUUAGAUCGAUCAAAUAUUUAUUUAGUGGAUUG
rnacentral:lncRNA from 1 species